rnacentral:rRNA from 1 species
UGGAUCCAGACUUUGAUCAUGGCUCAGGAUGAACGCCGGCGGUGUGCCUAAUACAUGCAAGUCGAACGCGUUGGCCCAAUUGAUUGAUGGUGCUUGCACCUGAUUGAUUUUGGUUGCCAACGAGUGGCGGACGGGUGAGUAACACGUAGGUAACCUGCCCAGAAGCGGGGGACAACAUUUGGAAACAGAUGCUAAUACCGCAUAACAGCGUUGUUCGCAUGAACAACGCUUAAAAGAUGGCUUCUCGCUAUCACUUCUGGAUGGACCUGCGGUGCAUUAGCUUGUUGGUGGGGUAACGGCCUACCAAGGCGAUGAUGCAUAGCCGAGUUGAGAGACUGAUCGGCCACAAUGGGACUGAGACACGGCCCAUACUCCUACGGGAGGCAGCAGUAGGGAAUCUUCCACAAUGGGCGCAAGCCUGAUGGAGCAACACCGCGUGAGUGAAGAAGGGUUUCGGCUCGUAAAGCUCUGUUGUUAAAGAAGAACACGUAUGAGAGUAACUGUUCAUACGUUGACGGUAUUUAACCAGAAAGUCACGGCUAACUACGUGCCAGCAGCCGCGGUAAUACGUAGGUGGCAAGCGUUAUCCGGAUUUAUUGGGCGUAAAGAGAGUGCAGGCGGUUUUCUAAGUCUGAUGUGAAAGCCUUCGGCUUAACCGGAGAAGUGCAUCGGAAACUGGAUAACUUGAGUGCAGAAGAGGGUAGUGGAACUCCGUGUGUAGCGGUGGAAUGCGUAGAUAUAUGGAAGAACACCAGUGGCGAAGGCGGCUACCUGGUCUGCAACUGACGCUGAGACUCGAAAGCAUGGGUAGCGAACAGGAUUAGAUACCCUGGUAGUCCAUGCCGUAAACGAUGAGUGCUAGGUGUCGGAGGGUUUCCGCCCUUCAGUGCCGGAGCUAACGCAUUAAGCACUCCGCCUGGGGAGUACGACCGCAAGGUUGCAACUCAAAUGAAUUGACGGA